rnacentral:rRNA from 1 species
UACGAAGGGGCUAGCGUUGCUCGGAAUCACUGGGCGUAAAGGGUGCGUAGGCGGGUCUUUAAGUCAGGGGUGAAAUCCUGGAGCUCAACUCCAGAACUGCCUUUGAUACUGAAGAUCUUGAGUUCGGGAGAGGUGAGUGGAACUGCGAGUGUAGAGGUGAAAUUCGUAGAUAUUCGCAAGAACACCGGUGGCGAAGGCGGCAUCCUGGACCAACACUGACGCUGAGUGAGCGAAAGCCAGGGGAGCAAACAGG